AGGGUCAAAGUGCACGUGACGAAAGGUCAAAUGGCUUCAAACUCCUACAGAAAUUUGAUUAGCUUCGCUGUAGCGACAAAAGGGAACCAUUGACAUUGCGACUCUUAUGUAAAUUUAAAAAUAUCGCGCCAGUGAACAUAAAUCUAGCUAAACCCCGCAAUCCGUAACAUUCCGGACCGGGCAUCUUGGUCUGCAGAAAACUUGGCAAGCGUUUGGAUGCAGUUCGUGGACUUCCUAUUGUUUUUGUAGUGCACAUGUAAAUUUAUUCAAAGGCAGUGGAAGACAUGAAUAAAUAAAGAAAGAAGCGCAUAUUCGCCCCCAAUACAGCUAAAGGGAACAACUUCUGGCGAUUAAAGUCGAUAUAAAAUGGCUAUUAUAGUUGCAUCACAACGUAAUUUCUAUCAUGCACAUUGCUGAUUACACUUUCAUGCUUGAUGUUCUCGAAAAUGAUUGAGCUAUUUGGUAGCGUAUUUGCCUAUAGGUGGUAAUGUUAGAGAACCCUGAUAUGGCUUCAUACGACAGUAUUUCUUGACAUGCAUACAAGGACAGGAAGCCCAAAUGAUUGCAUGCCACAUACUCACAUGACAGAUUUGGAUUGUGUGGGAGUUAAAAUCCGCAAACAUGGGAUAUGAGAACGUUGUA